rnacentral:piRNA from 1 species
UGAUCUGGUGCAGGAGAUUCUGUUGUGGUC